rnacentral:lncRNA from 1 species
NNNCGGCUCCGGAACCAGCUGCAGGCUGCUGGCGGCGCGCGAGUGAGAGAGGAAACCAGACUUGAGAGUCCAUCGAAAGAGGAUGCUCCUUCCGUGUAUGGGUAGGAACAGCUGUAAACUUCGCCUUUCCUGAUUCUUAUAACUUGCACCUUUAGCUUUUUAUAGAAAGAAGCUUUAUCUUUCUCUCAAAAAGCACGCGGGCAAGUACACAUUGAGAUGCUAUUAGAACCGCUAAGAAGUGGUUAAGUUAUGUACAUGAUGUUAACUUACAUUUCUAGUUGGUGUGAAAGGGAUAGAAUUGUCUAAUUUC